GUGAGGAAUUUUCCGCAAUGGGCGAAAGCCUGACGGAGCAAUGCCGCGUGAAGGAUGAAGGCCUAUGGGUUGUAAACUUCUUUUCUCAGAAAAGAAUUAUGACGGUAUCUGAGGAAUAAGCAUCGGCUAACUCUGUGCCAGCAGCCGCGGUAAGACAGAGGAUGCAAGCGUUAUCCGGAAUGAUUGGGCGUAAAGCGUCUGUAGGUUGUUUAAAAAGUAUUCUGUCAAAGAUUAGGGCUUAACCCUAGAUAGGCAGAAUAAACUUUUAAGCUAGAGUGUGGUAGAGGCAGAGGGAAUUCCCGGGGGAGCGGUGAAAUGCGUAGAUAUCGGGAGGAACACCAAAGGCGAAGGCACUCUGCUGGGCCAAUACUAACACUGAGAGACGAAAGCGAGGGGAGCAAAUGGGAUUAGAAACCCGUGUAGUCC
rnacentral:rRNA from 1 species